AGAGUUUGAUCCUGGCUCAGAAUGAACGCUGGCGGCAUGCCUAACACAUGCAAGUCGAACGAGAUCUUCGGAUCUAGUGGCGCACGGGUGAGUAACGCGUGGGAACCUACCUUUUAGUACGGGACAACGUUUGGAAACGAACGCUAAUACCGUAUACGCCCUCCGGGGGAAAGGUCAGCCGCUAAAAGAGGGGCCCGCGUCUGAUUAGCUUGUUGGUAAGGUAAUGGCUUACCAAGGCUCCGAUCUUUAGCUGGUUUGAGAGGAUGAUCAGCCACACUGGGACUGAGACACGGCCCAGACUCCUACGGGAGGCAGCAGUAGGGAAUAUUGGACAAUGGGGGAAACCCUGAUCCAGCAAUGCAGCGUGAGUGACGAAGGCCUUAGGGUUGUAAAACUCUUUCAUCGGUGAGGAUAAUGACAGUAGCCGAAGAAGAAGGACCGGCUAAUUCCGUGCCAGCAGCCGCGGUAAUACGGAAGGUCCUAGCGUUGUUCGGAAUUACUGGGCGUAAAGCGCAUGUAGGCGGAACAAAAAGUUAGAAGUGAAAUCCCUGGGCUCAACCUAGGAAUGGCUUUUAAAACUUUUGUUCUGGAAUUCAGGAGAGGAAAAUGGAAUUUCCAGUGUAGAGGUGAAAUUCGUAGAUAUUGGAAGGAACACCAGUGGCGAAGGCGAUUUUCUGGACUGAUAUUGACGCUGAGAUGCGAAGGCAUGGGUAGCAAACGGGAUUAGAUACCCCGGUAGUCCAUGCAGUAAACGAUGGGUGCUAGUCGUCGGACUUUUGUUCGGUGUCGUAGCUAACGCGUUAAGCACCCCGCCUGGGGAGUACGGUCGCAAGAUUAAAACUCAAAGAAAUUGACGGGGACCCGCACAAGCAGUGGAGCAUGUGGUUUAAUUCGACGCAACGCGAAGAACCUUACCAGCGUUUGACAUGGGAAGUACCGGUUACAGAAUGGUAACCUUCAGUUCGGCUGGCUUCCACACAGGUGCUGCAUGGCUGUCGUCAGCUCGUGUCGUGAGAUGUUGGGUUAA
rnacentral:rRNA from 1 species